rnacentral:rRNA from 1 species
GACGAACGCUGGCGGCGUGCUUAACACAUGCAAGUCGAACGGAAAGGCCCUGCUUUUGUGGGUGCUCGAGUGGCGAACGGGUUAGUAACACGUGAGUAACCUGCCCUUGACUUUGGGAUAACUUUAGGAAACUGGGGCUAAUACCGGAUAGGAGCUCCUGCUGCCUGGUGGGGGUUGGAAAGUUUCGGCGGUUGGGGAUGGACUCGCGGCUUAUCAGCUUGUUGGUGGGGUAGUGGCUUACCAAGGCUUUGACGGGUAGCCGGCCUGAGAGGGUGACCGGCCACAUUGGGACUGAGAUACGGCCCAGACUCCUACGGGAGGCAGCAGUGGGGAAUAUUGCACAAUGGGCGGAAGCCUGAUGCAGCAACGCCGCGUGCGGGAUGACGGCCUUCGGGUUGUAAACCGCUUUCGCCUGUGACGAAGCGUGAGUGACGGUAAUGGGUAAAGAAGCACCGGCUAACUACGUG